rnacentral:rRNA from 1 species
AUUGAACGCUGGCGGCAGGCUUAACACCUGCAAGUCGAACGAGUGGCGGACGGGUGAGUAAUGCUUGGGAAUCUAGCUUAUGGAGGGGGAUAACUACUGGAAACGGUGGCUAAUACCGCCUACUAUCGGAUGAACCCAUAUGGGAUUAGCUAGUAGGUGGGGUAAAGGCGCACCUGGGCGACGAUCUCUAGCUGGUCUGAGAGGAUGAUAAGCCACACGGGGACUGAGACACGGCCCAGACUCCUAGGGGAGGCAGCAGUGGGGAAUAUUGCACAAUGGGCGCAAGCCUGAGUCAGCCAUGCCGCGUGUAUGAAGAAGGCCUUAGGGUUGUAAAGUACUUUCAGCGGGGAGGCGUUACCCGCAGAAGAAGCACCGGCUAACUCCGUGCCAGCAGCCGCGGUAAUUC